UACGAAGGGUCCUAGCGUUGUUCGGAAUUACUGGGCGUAAAGGGUGCGUAGGCGGCUUACUAAGUCAGGUGUGAACGCCCCAAGCUUAACUUGGGAACUGCACUUGAUACUGGUAGGAUAGAGAUCGGAAGAGGUGAGCGGAAUUCCUAGUGUAGAGGUGAAAUUCGUAGAUAUUAGGAAGAACACCAGUGGCGAAGGCGGCUCACUGGUCCGAUACUGACGCUAAGGCACGAAAGCGUGGGGAGCAAACAGG
rnacentral:rRNA from 1 species